rnacentral:rRNA from 1 species
UACGUAGGGUGCGAGCGUUAAUCGGAAUUACUGGGCGUAAAGCGUGCGCAGGCGGUUGUGCAAGACAGAUGUGAAAUCCCCGGGCUUAACCUGGGAACUGCAUUUGUGACUGCACAGCUGGAGUGCGGCAGAGGGGGAUGGAAUUCCGCGUGUAGCAGUGAAAUGCGUAGAUAUGCGGAGGAACACCGAUGGCGAAGGCAAUCCCCUGGGCCUGCACUGACGCUCAUGCACGAAAGCGUGGGGAGCAAACGGG